rnacentral:lncRNA from 12 species
CAUGAGGACUGAUUAAACAGAAGCUCCUAAAAGGAUUAUCAGCAGGCACACGGCUCCCAGUGCCCACCAGCUGAGUACCGCCUCCUGGGGUGUGAAGAGGGAUCCUGUUAUGGUGUUACUUCCGGCCACUGUGUAAGUCAGCCCAUGCACACAAUCCCUCUGACAUCCCAGCUAACCUGGGGGAGCAGACUGCGAAGGAAUAAUUACUUUGGCUUUUAAGAACUGCUAGGAUUCAGCACUAUUUCCUACCCCCUUUGCCAAUAGGUUGUCCCACAGGGAUUUUCACCUCGGUGUUUCUGGUUCCCCCUCCAGAAAUAUCCUUUUCUCUCACCAUUCGCUGUGGAGACCUACAAUCCGGCCCCAAAAGCCAUUUCCUUUUCAAAGCCUCACUGGGCAGAUUGCACAACGUGAUGGUUUCUGGAUCACAUCAAGGCUGCACACAGGCUUCUUUCGCAGUGGGAUACUCAGUUCUGCAGACCUCAUUUUUCAUUUUUAAGGUGGGAGAUUGCACAUACUCUGAUUCCCUUUCAGGAAGUCAUAGAAGAAGAUUAGGACCCAGCGAGCAGGAAGUCUUUCAUAGAAGAAAGAUUAAGACCCACAGAAUAAGUCAGCCUGUGGUAACCAAGAGGGUCUCCACUUCGUGAGGUUCCAUUUGUGCAUCAUGAAUGUCUCCAAAUCCCAAGCGCCUGUGGAAGGCCCUUCUAUGCCAUUUUACAAACGAAUCUUCUCGAGGCCUUUUCAAGGAGUCUAUCAUUUACUCUUAGGAAAUGCCUCACCCUCACAUUUCCCUGGAUGCCUCACAGUUUUGAGGAAAAGGUACAUUUAAAAAAAUGUCUUCUGGGGAUCCCUGAGUGGCUCAGCAUUUUAGCGCCUGCCUGGUCCAGGGCGCCGUCCUGGAGUCCCCAGAUCGAGUCCUGCGUCGGGCUCCCUGCAUGGAGCCUGCUUCUCCUCCUCCUGUGUCUCUACCCCUCUCUCUCUCUAUAUGUCUAUCCUAAAUAAAUAAAUAAAUAAAUAAAUAAAUAAAUAAAUA